GCCGAACUCUUUCUUCGUGCUUAACACAUGCAAGUCGAACGGAAAGGCCCUGCUUUUGUGGGGUGCUCGAGUGGCGAACGGGUGAGUAACACGUGAGUAACCUGCCCUUGACUUUGGGAUAACUUCAGGAAACUGGGGCUAAUACCGGAUAGGAGCUCCUGCUGCAUGGUGGGGGUUGGAAAGUUUCGGCGGUUGGGGAUGGACUCGCGGCUUAUCAGCUUGUUGGUGGGGUAGUGGCUUACCAAGGCUUUGACGGGUAGCCGGCCUGAGAGGGUGACCGGCCACAUUGGGACUGAGAUACGGCCCAGACUCCUACGGGAGGCAGCAGUGGGGAAUAUUGCACAAUGGGCGGAAGCCUGAUGCAGCAACGCCGCGUGCGGGAUGACGGCCUUCGGGUUGUAAACCGCUUUCGCCUGUGACGAAGCGUGAGUGACGGUAAUGGGUAAAGAAGCACCGGCUAACUACGUG
rnacentral:rRNA from 1 species